GCGCUGACAGUUUGAAAUUGGGCUCCAACGGUAGCGGCUCGAGAAGCUGCUGGGGCCAACGGUUCCGCAGGGGGCUCCUCGACAAACCGAGCCGCCUCAGCACCACACACCGGUUCCCAACCUCACCCUUUCAGCGCACCUUGCCACAACGCGGGCUUCAGUUAGGAACACUUCACGGCGCCUCACUAAAAUCGCCUCCGACUAACACCGACCAGGCAUUGGACUUAAUACGCCGAAUUUGCGUACCUGGCCCACUACUUCGCAGGUUGCAAAUAAUGGAUCCUGACGUACAACUUUGGAACAACCAGCCUAAGAAUGUGUUUCCCUCAAAUGCAAAUAGAAGGGACCAAAGGUGAAUGAAUAACUGCACUCAAUUGCACAAGCAUGCCACAAGAUUGUACAAGGCCUUGAUUGUACAUCAUCCAUAUGUUGCAGUUUGAACACUUGGGUCUAGGGCAUACUGUCACAUCACCCAAAACAAUUCUGAAUUUGAAGGUUAAAAAAACUAGGUGCUAGAAAUCUGAAACAAAAACAGAAAAUACAGGAAACACUCAGCAGACCAGAUUGCAUCUGCGGAAAGAGAAACAGAAUUAACAUUUCAGGUGGAAGACUGAAAUGUUAACUCUUCUGGCAAAUUCAGGAGUGACGAUUCUUCAGUUAAAAAAGUUAACACAUGAACUUUAAAUCCUAAUUCCAUUGCGGGGUGAUUUUCCCGAUUGCAAUUACAAAUCUGGCCCUUUUCUCUUGAUAUUUCAGCUCCGCCAAAUAGUCAUACAGCAUGGAAAAAUGCCCUUUGGUUGCUGACUAAUGUGGCCCAUUUCUGCUAGGCCCACCAGCCUGUGUUUGGCCCAUAUCACUAAACCUUUCCUAUCCAUGUGCCUGUCCAUAUGUCUUAAAUGUUGUUACAACACUUCUCUGGAGGUUUUUCACCCAAUGUGUCUACUUUGGCAAGAGUUUGGUGGUACAACUAAGUUAUAAUCCUGUUAUUUUCCCAAUUGCAAUUAAGAUAUCAGGAAGGAUUGGCUAUAUAUUGAAAUCUUGGCACAUACGAAAUGCAGAACUAUUCAAGUUGGGACAUUGUUGCAAACCUAGGUGA